AAAACUUCAACAUCAUGAUAAUGUAUCAGGUAUAUUUAUAUAUGGUCAUUAAUUGAUAAUGGCUGAAAAUUUUAUUUGUUGUUGUAGUUUAGCUGCUCUAACCUCUAAUUAAUUAAGUAAUUUUAUCUUGAGUCUUCUCUUAUUAUUACGUUUCGUAAUCCAUGUACUACUUCUCAUAUGCCCUACUCUAUUUUUAAGGGGCAUGAACAAUGAAAUUAAUUUAUUUUUAUCGGACAAAUAAGAAUCAAAAUUUGGUUGUCUUUUCAAACCGUCGUUUUUAAAAAAAU
rnacentral:sRNA from 1 species